rfam:Schistosoma curassoni strain Dakar, Senegal genome assembly, scaffold: SCTD_contig0016592
AUUCAGCUGACGAGUUCCAGAAAGGAUGAAACAUGCGUUCUGGAU